ensembl:snoRNA SNORD115 Small nucleolar RNA SNORD115
GGGCUAAUAAUGAGACCUCAUUGUGUGUCGAAGAGAGAUGAUGACUUAAAAAUCAUGCUCAAAAGGAUUACCCUGGGGCAU